UGGACUGUGGCUCAGUAGUAGAGUGCUUGCCUAGCAUGCGAGAGGUACUGGGUUCGAUCUCCAGCACCACAU
rnacentral:tRNA from 1 species